rnacentral:lncRNA from 1 species
GGCCGGACGAGCGCCGGCGCCGUGCUCCUCCUCUGUUCUGCGGGCGCGCCGUCGGGAUGGAGAAAGAAGAAGGGAAGGGAGGAGAGAGAGAGGGAGUGGAUAAGGCGGAUCCACCAGUCACCCACACCGGAGCCGGCCCCGCGUUGACCCCAAGUGCCAACGUGGAUAAGUGACGGGUCCCACCCCGCGGGACCCGCACGUCAGCGACCCACGCCCGGCCCCGCCACUGUCCACGUGGUUAAGUGGAAACGCAUUUCUCAUAGUACGUUUUCAUCCGACGAAAGCGUAUUCUUCCUUUGUUUUAUCUAAAGUACAUUUUCCCUUCAGGAAAGCGUAUUCGUCUCUUCUGGCCUGAAUAGACGUUUUCUUUUAUAGAAAACGGUUUCAACCCGAAGGCGCUUUCUGUUUUUCUGUCCAGGCCCAGAUUUUGAAGUUUUUCGUUACAGAUGGGUCCCUGGCAGAAGCACCUCAUAUCUUUUUAACCACAACUCCAAAUGAGGUGAUUCCAAAGCCCACUUCUUCGUUUCAUCGAGCCCGUUCUGAUGGAACCAUUUUCACCAUGUUUUGACAUUCUGAAAUUGACCAUUUUACCACUGCCAUUAUUCAGCCCCCUCCAAGAGAGUACGUUUUCCAGCGAUCCUUUCCACGAGUUUCUCGCACUUUCUCUUGGUGAUUUCCACCACCCCAGGCAAGCCACACCCUCCAUUUGCAUGAUUGCAAUGCAUUGACAUGGUUUAAAUUAUUUGAACUUGUUUAAAAUAUUGCUUUAGCUACACGACUUUGUGCAUGGCAAUUUCUCGGAGUUGUAUUUUGAUCUUGUUAUUGCCAUGAUGUUGCUUGGAGUUGGACUUUUAUUUUGCAGCUUAUGUGGUUGACAUGUUGCCAUUGGAUUAUUAGUGGCUUAUGUUAUGAUGGUGGUGUUGGGUAUGAUAUUUUUGGAGUAUUACUUUGGAUAUCAUGCUGCCUUUGGAUUAUUAGUGGUUAGUAUGAUUAUUUUUCAUGAUGGUAUAUGAUAUUUUUGGAGUAUUACUUUGAAUAUCAUGCCGCCUUUGGAUUAUUAGUGGCUAGUAUGAUUAUUUUUCAUGAUGGUAUAUGAUAUUUUUGGAGUAUUACUUUGGAUAUCAUGCUGCCUUUGGAUUAUUAGUGGUUAAUAUGAUUAUUUUUCAUGAUGGUAUUUGAUGUUAUUUUGAAGUAUUACUUUGGAUAUCAUGCUGCCUUUGGAUUAUUAGUGGUUAGUAUGAUUAUUUUCAUGAUGGUAUCUGUUAUUAUAUUUUGGAGUAUUACUUUGGAUGUCAUGUUGCCUUCGGAGUAUUAGUGGCUUUUAUGAUUAGUUUCAUGGUGGUUUUGGAUAUAUCUUGGAGUAUUUGCUUUGGAUGUCAUACUGCCUUUGGAUUAUUAGUGUUUAGUAUGAUUAUUUUCAUGAUGCUAGUUGAUGUUCUGUUGCUUGGAGUAUUAUUUUCGGAGAUGAUGUUUACAUGUGGAUCUCAGCCGAAUAGCUUUAUUCUUGUUAUUGGAGUAGUAGGAGUAUUGUUUUCGGAUUCAUCAUGACAGUAGUGUUGUGCUACCCUUGGAGUAUUUUGAGAUGAUGAUAUUAUGCUUGGAUUAUUUGUUGGAUCUAUGAUUUGGAUUAUAGUUUUAUAGUUGAUAUUGGAGUAGCAGUUACCACAGCUAUACUUUUGGGGAUAAAUUCCGUCAUUAAGUUGGUCAGGUGCCGCCGAACCGGGCUUUUCGAGUGCAACCACACUUGCCUUUACGGGAAGGCCCUAAUGCGGUGUAUUGUCGUGCCUCUCGCCAGUGCCUCCAACUAGGGAAGGUUAUUGUAACACCCUCGAUGCGACUAUAUCUCCCACGUGUCGAGGCACGACUUAGAGGCAUAAUCGCAUUGAAGGCAUAUGUCGCAAGUUAGGCAAUCUUCACAACAUCCCAUGUAAUAUAAUAAUGAAAGGGGAGAUAACAUAGUUGGCUUACACUCGCCACGUCAAUCAAGUACAUAAAUAACAUAACAUCAUCCAAACACUCAUGGCCCGACUACGGCGCCAAAAUAAAAUAGAACCCAACAUGCGACAACGGUCCCGUUCACCCCCAACUGGGCACCACUACUGAUCAUCAGGAAAGGAAACAUACUAACAUUGAGAGUCUUCGUCGAACUCCCACUUGAGCUCAUACGCGUCUCCUGCAGCGGAAUCAUCAGGCCCUGCAUCUGGUGUAAUAGUAAUUUGUGAGCCACAGGGACUCAGCAAUCUCGCACCCUCGCGAUCAAGACUAUUUAAGCUUAUAGGUAAGACAAGGUAAAUAUGUGGAGCUGCAGCAAGCGUCUAGCAAAUAUGGUGGCUAACUUAUUCACAAAAGAGAGCAAGAAGAGGAGGCAAAGCGCGAGCGAGAAACUAGAGAACAACCUGCACAAACAUUACUCCAACACCGUGUCCACUUCCCGGACUCUGCCGAGAAGAGGCCAUCACGGUAACACACUCAUUUCAUUCAUUUUAAUUAAGUUAAGGUUAAAGUUAUCUAUAACCGGACAUUAACAAAUUCCCAUCUGCCCAUAACCGCGGGCACGGCUUUCGAAAGUUCAAAUCCCUGCAGGGGAGUCCCAACUUAGCCCAUGACAAGCUCUCACGGUCAACGAAGGAAUAGACCUCCUCCCAAGACGUUCCGAUCAGACUCGGUAUCUCGGUUCUUCAAAACACUUCGACAGGUUAAAACAAGACCAGAACCACCGCCCGAAUGUGCCGACAAAUCCCGAUAGGAGCUGGACAUAUCUAGUUCUUAGGGCACACUCAGAUGAGACAUCCUACGAGUAAAACCAACCCUCAAGUUGCCCCGAGGUGGCCCCGCAGUCUACUCGGUCGGACCAACACUCAGA